ACAUUACUGUGUACGUCACUUCCGCAAGACAUUAAGUUUCCUUCACAAGCCAGAUUGUGCUCUUUUUUUAUCGGUGGACAUGUUGGAUGCGUCCAAGUCAGGUUGUGUUUGAGUUGUGCAGGCUUGUGUCACCUGACUUAAAGAAGGCAUUGUUUGAAGGGCUUGAUCAGCACCUCCCACGGCUCCUGCAGUUGUACAACACCGAGAGGCAGUGAAAUACCCGAAAUCCAACAUGUGAUGACCCGCAUUGAUCAAGAGGACCAUUAAUCACAAUUAUGAAAGAUGACACAUCGGGUACAAAGUAUCAGGGUUUUUUUUUUCCUUUUCUUUUUUUUCACAUUGGUUGAACUUUUGCUACACCAUUUCCAGUGUGUGUGUGUGUGCUACAAAUCACUUUGAGAUCUCUAAUCAGAAGAAAAGGGAAGGAGUUCUUCAGGGCCUACCUUAUUUCAUGAGAGAAAAUCCAAGCAAUUUUUUUUUACUUUAUUUAUUUUUAUAAAGUUUUUGAGGUAAGAUGGUAAAUAUUUUUAUUUUUAGGAUUCCUCUGUCUGGAGGAUAUGUUGUUGUUGUUGUUGUUGUCCUCCUUCUCUCCCUAAGGUGCCCAGUAAUGCAAGAUAUGAAUGGUAAAUUGUGAAAUUUGGCACAUUGAUACUACAGGCCACGAGUAACUGCCACAAAACAAAUGGCCCACAUGAGUCCAUAGGUGGCACUACAGGUCAUGCCCAAAUCUACAUGAUUUUCCCUUGGUCCCACAAGUCCAAAAUGUCUGAAAAUUGAUAUAUGUGCCUUAUUUCUUAUCGGGAACAAAAAAAUCCAUUGGGACCCAUAACGUACACCAUGAUGGGUUUUCCUGUACUUUGUUCAAAACUACAAAAAUCUCCUUUUGUACUGUAGGUCCGAUUGACUUGAACUGUGAUGCAUGUCUUUCUAUAGGGUGAUGAGCAAUAAGGAAUCAAAUAAAAAAUUUGCUGAACUAUUUACAUAUUGGUGAAUUGACAUCUGUUGUGCAUAUUUCUUGUCCAUAAAUCAAUGGAACAUUAAACUUUGGACUUGAUCUGUGGCACACACAAAAAGGACACUAAGGUAUCUUUAAUAGUUACAUUAUAUUUAACUAUCUUUAUCGUCCACUAGAUGGCACUGUCUUGGAUCCAGCCAAACCACACUUCAUUCAGAUUUGUUUUUGCAUCAGGAAUAAAUUCAAAAUGUUAGUGUUGUAUCAACAUGAAAUAAUUCUCUAAAAUUCUCAGACUCCUGAUUUGUUCUAGACAAUUAUCAUUUGUGGAAAACUACAAAAAUGAACUUAAAAUCUGCCAUUGAUCCAAAUGCAUUGAAAUGUUACAUCUGUGGGAUACAUUUCUCCACCAUGUCAAUUUUGAAAUGGUCCGCAAUCUUGAGGAAUCCGCAAUUGCUGCUUGCAGCUAAUUUUUAUUAUUUUUAUCCCAGUAGCAGUAUUGUAUUACUACUUUGUAGAAGUACAAUAAAUUACUAAGUCCUCUCUUUCUUUUCUUGUCUCUUUAGCUAACUGAUGUGGAAGUCAGUUAGGGGAGUUAAGGUGGGUGUCCUGACUGAGUGAUGAUACCAGACAUGAUGGUUUCUUCCCAGCUGAUGUCCUGAAUGUUGCUGUGAUACUGGAAAGGGAGAUUGUUUCAGAACGAAGAUGUUCCUAAUGCUCUUGCUAUACUGCUUGGACUACUGUGUUCUGAACAUUGAGUAUCCCAAAGAACUACUAUCCCAAAGAACUGAUAUACCUUUUGAGGUACUUCAAAGAAUUUUCAUGAAAAUUGGCGAGCUGCACAGCAAGAGUUCACAAUCUAAAAAAUAAAUGAAUGCAGUGAUGUAAAAAUGCUGCAAUGCAA